rnacentral:rRNA from 1 species
AUUGAACGCCGGCGGCAUGCCUUACACAUGCAAGUCGAACGGCAGCGCGGACUUCGGUCUGGCGGCGAGUGGCGAACGGGUGAGUAAUGUAUCGGAACGUACCAUUCAGUGGGGGAUAACGCAGCGAAAGUUGCGCUAAUACCGCAUAUUCUGUGCGCGGGAAAGCAGGGGAUCGCAAGACCUUGCGCUGAUUGAGCGGCCGAUAUCAGAUUAGCUAGUUGGUGAGGUAAAGGCUCACCAAGGCGACGAUCUGUAGCGGGUCUGAGAGGAUGAUCCGCCACACUGGAACUGAGACACGGUCCAGACUCCUACGGGAGGCAGCAGUGGGGAAUUUUGGACAAUGGGCGCAAGCCUGAUCCAGCCAUGCCGCGUGAGUGAAGAAGGCCUUCGGGUUGUAAAGCUCUUUCGGCCGGGAAGAAAUCGUAUGGGUUAAUACCCUGUGCGGAUGACGGUACCGGCAUAAGAAGCACCGGCUAACUACGUGCCAGCCGCCGCGGUAAGAC